rnacentral:rRNA from 1 species
ACGGCUCAGUAACACGUGGAUAACAUGCCCUAAGGUGGGGGAUAAUCUCGGGAAACUGAGGAUAAUACCCCAUAGGUCUGAUCUGCUGGAAUGCUUUCAGGCCGAAAACUCCGGUGCCUUAGGAUUGGUCUGCGGUCUAUCAGGCAGUAGUGGGUGUAACGGACCCACUAGCCCGUGACGGAUAUGGGCCUUGAGAGAGGGAGCCCAGAGAUGGACUCUUAGACAUGAGUCCAGGCCCUACGGGGCGCAGCAGUCGCGAAAACUUCGCAAUGGGGGCAACCCCGACGAGGGAAUUCCAAGUGCCAGCACUUUGUGUUGGCUGUUCUCCUGUCUAAAAAACAGGAGGAGUAAGGGGCGGGUAAGACGGGUGCCAGCCGCCGCGGUAAUACCCGCGCCCCUAGUGGUGGUCGAUAUUAUUGAGCCUAAAACGUCCGUAGCCGGUCUUUUAAAUCCUUGGGUAAAUCGGGCAGCUUAACUGUCCGAAUUCCGGGGAGACUGGAAGACUUGGGACCGGGAGAGGUCAGAGGUACUUCUGGGGUAGGGGUAAAAUCCUGUAAUCCUGGAAGGACCACCGGUGGCGAAGGCGUCUGACUAGAACGGAUCCGACGGUGAGGGACGAAGCCCUGGGGCGCAAACGGGAUUAGAUACCCCGGUAGUCCAGGGUGUAAACGCUGCGGGCUUGGUGUUGGGGGUCCUUAGUGGGCGCCCAGUGCCGGAGAGAAGUUGUUAAGCCUGCUGCUUGGGGAGUAUGUCCGCAAGGAUGAAACUUAAAGGAAUUGGCGGGGGAGCAC